UUCUCUUCUUCUUUUCCGUUUCUUCUUUUUCUUCUUUUCUCCACUGAAGUUCAAAUACCUCCUUGACUUUUCUAGAGUUUUAAACUGGGGAUGAAGCUGAUUUUAUCCAUUGCAGACUUCCUGUCUUUUCUCAGAUAUGUCACAGCUAUCUUAUUAUGCUUCCUUAAUCCAGUCUAGCGCUCAAUUCCUCCUAACCUGUUAUCAAGUUAUUAGCAACUUAAACUAAAGACAAGAUAAUGGAGCAUAAAUUAAAUACUUCUUGACAAAUAAUAAAGAUUUUACAGUAUUAUUUUAACUAUUUCACAUAAUCAUUGGAAUUUGAACUCUACAUGGGUAGAAAGGGCCAUUAUUUUUUCUAUAAGCAUUCUAGAGGACAAAACACUAAAUACCACUGGUUGGAAGCUGUCAGACUAUUGAGAUUUUUAAAGGAAAGAGUGAGAGAGAUAUAUGACAAUAAAAAUAAAAAUAAAAGAUGGGAGGGCUCCCUCUUCCUAGAGAUGGGGUCUGUUAGGUAGAUAGCAAUAUUUUCUAAAGAGCUUCCAGUCCAAAGAAAAAUAUAUCCUAAACUUUAGAACAAAUGUUCUAUGCAGAAUUAUGUUCCAGAAUUAUGUAACCCUCUUUUUAUUCUGUGUUCAUAUUUCCUUAUGUCUAGGAUGUUAUGUUCUAUUCACAUUAAAUUUGCUAAGACGUAAGUUCACUGCAGUUUAUGAAGUGUUUUAUGUGUCAAUUCAUUUGAUUACCACAACAAUCCUUUGAAGUACAUGAUAUUAUCUUCAUUUUUUAUCAGAUAAGGAAAUUGAGUCACACAGACCUUAAUUUGUCUUAAUCCAAAGUUAUAUAGUUAAUAUUAAAUGACUAAAGCAGUUUUGAACUGAGUUGGUUUUAUUUGUUUUUGACUCAAAGUUCUUCACUCUAUCUAUUUGCACCACUUAGCUGCUUCAUCAUGAUAUGGUGAUGACUCUGAAGUCUUUUUGUCUGUUGAACAGAAACAAUUACUUCAUUGGCAAAGAGAAUUUUCAGUAAAGAAACAUCUCUAUUAAUGCUGGUGGACUUCUUUUUUUCUUUUCCUUCCUUUUUCCUUUCUUUCUUUCUUCCUUUUCUUUCCUUCCUUUCUUCUUUUCUUUCUUCCUUCUUUCCUUUCUUUCUUUUUUUCCCUCUUUUCUUUCUUUCCUUUUUCUUUUUUUCUUUCUCUUUUUUUUCUGAAGCAACUGGGAUUAAGUGACUUGCCCAGAGUCAAACAAUUAUUAAGUGUCUGAGGCCACAUUUGAACUCAGUGCUCUGUCCACUGCACAUCUAACCUCCCUCAUUCUCUUCUGCAACUUAUAGACUUAGAGAAUUGCCUGGGUUGCUUUAGAGGUUCAGAGACUUGCUAAGGUUUUGGUAUGUAACCACACUCUGGAUUGUUUAAGGCUUUAACAAAAGACUAUAAGCUCUCUCCAGCGGCAUCAUGAGAAAAGAAUACUGGAUCUAGAACUUCAUCAUCUAAGUUCAAAUCCCAAUUUUACUAACUCACUAUCUGGGUGACCUUAGCAAGUCACUCUUUGCUCUGGCCUUCCUCUGGAGCCUUUGGAGAGAACCUGAUCCUCUCUGAAGUCUUUUACAACUUGGAAUCCUGUGAUUAUGAUCCUUGUGAUUCUCUGAUCUUGCCAGCCUGCAAGGGCUUUAAGUACAGGCCUGUGUUCUCUAAAAAGCAACUUCCCUAAGUGUGUAGAGGUUUGUCUCCGGAGGACUUUCUACUAAGAUGUGAAGGGAGUGUUAAUUUGUUCUGGAGGAGUUAAGUUACCACACUAAUAAAAUUCUUCUAGGAUUGAACUCAUGCUAUAAGGAACUAAUGAGGUAACAUAUGUAAAGAGGCUUUGCAAAUCUUAUAAUGCUAUAUCAAUAUUAA